GAUGAACGCUAGCGACAGGCUUAACACAUGCAAGUCGAGGGGCAGCACAGGUAGCAAUACCGGGUGGCGACCGGCGCACGGGUGAGUAACGCGUAUGCAACUUACCUAUCAGAGGGGGAUAACCCGGCGAAAGUCGGACUAAUACCGCAUGAAGCAGGGGCCCCGCAUGGGGAUAUUUGCUAAAGAUUCAUCGCUGAUAGAUAGGCAUGCGUUCCAUUAGGCAGUUGGCGGGGUAACGGCCCACCAAACCGACGAUGGAUAGGGGUUCUGAGAGGAAGGUCCCCCACAUUGGUACUGAGACACGGACCAAACUCCUACGGGAGGCAGCAGUGAGGAAUAUUGGUCAAUGGCCGAGAGGCUGAACCAGCCAAGUCGCGUGAGGGAUGAAGGUUCUAUGGAUCGUAAACCUCUUUUAUAAGGGAAUAAAGUGCGGGACGUGUCCCGUUUUGUAUGUACCUUAUGAAUAAGGAUCGGCUAACUCCGUGCCAGCAGCCGCGGUAAUACGGAGGAUCCGAGCGUUAUCCGGAUUUAUUGGGUUUAAAGGGUGCGUAGGCGGCCUUUUAAGUCAGCGGUGAAAGUCUGUGGCUCAACCAUAGAAUUGCCGUUGAAACUGGGGGGCUUGAGUAUGUUUGAGGCAGGCGGAAUGCGUGGUGUAGCGGUGAAAUGCAUAGAUAUCACGCAGAACCCCGAUUGCGAAGGCAGCCUGCCAAGCCAUGACUGACGCUGAUGCACGAAAGCGUGGGGAUCAAACAGGAUUAGAUACCCUGGUAGUCCACGCAGUAAACGAUGAUCACUAGCUGUUUGCGAUACACUGUAAGCGGCACAGCGAAAGCGUUAAGUGAUCCACCUGGGGAGUACGCCGGCAACGGUGAAACUCAAAGGAAUUGAUGGGGGCCCGCACAAGCGGAGGAACAUGUGGUUUAAUUCGAUGAUACGCGAGGAACCUUACCCGGGUUUGAACGCAUUCGGACCGAGGUGGAAACACCUUUUCUAGCAAUAGCCGUUUGCGAGGUGCUGCAUGGUUGUCGUCAGCUCGUGCCGUGAGGUGUCGGCUUAAGUGCCAUAACGAGCGCAACCCUUGCCACUAGUUACUAACAGGUGAUGCUGAGGACUCUGGUGGGACUGCCAGCGUAAGCUGCGAGGAAGGCGGGGAUGACGUCAAAUCAGCACGGCCCUUACAUCCGGGGCGACACACGUGUUACAAUGGCGUGGACAAAGGGAGGCCACCUGGCGACAGGGAGCGAAUCCCCAAACCACGUCUCAGUUCGGAUCGGAGUCUGCAACCCGACUCCGUGAAGCUGGAUUCGCUAGUAAUCGCGCAUCAGCCAUGGCGCGGUGAAUACGUUCCCGGGCCUUGUACACACCGCCCGUCAAGCCAUGGGAGCCGGGGGUACAUGAAGUCCGUAACCGCGAGGAUCGGCCUAGGGUA
rnacentral:rRNA from 1 species